UACGUAGGGUGCAAGCGUUAAUCGGAAUUACUGGGCGUAAAGCGUGCGCAGGCGGUUGUGCAAGACCGAUGUGAAAUCCCCCGGGCUUAACCUGGGAAUGGCAUUGGUGACUGCACGGCUAGAGUGUGUCAGAGGGGGGGGUAGAAUUCCACGUGUAGCAGUGAAAAUGCGUAGAUAUCUGGAGGAACACCGGUGGCGAAGGCGGCAUCCUGGGACCGGCUAUU
rnacentral:rRNA from 1 species